rnacentral:rRNA from 1 species
UCUGGCGGCAGUAGCGCGGUCGUCCCACCUGACCCCAUGCCGAACUCAGAAGUGAAACGCCGUAGCGCCGAUGGUAGUGUGGGGUCUCCCCAUGCGAGAGUAGGGAACUGCCAGAC